rnacentral:rRNA from 1 species
AACGAACGCUGGCGGCAGGCCUAACACAUGCAAGUCGAACGCCCCGCAAGGGGAGCGGCGCACGGGUGAGUAACGCGUGGGAAUAUGCCCUUCGGUUCGGAAUAACUCAGGGAAACUUGGGCUAAUACCGGAUACGGACUACGGUCGAAAGAUUUAUCGCCGAGGGAGUGGCCCGCGUGGGAUUAGCUAGUUGGUGAGGUAAUGGCUCACCUAGGCGACGAUCCUUAGCUGGUCUGAGAGGAUGAUCAGCCACACUGGGACUGAGACACGGCCCAGACUCCUACGGGAGGCAGCGGUCGGGAAUAUUGGACAAUGGGGGCAACCUUGAUCCAGCCAUGCCGCGUGAGUGAUGAAGGCCUUAGGGUUGUAAAGCUCUUUCGUCGGUGAAGAUAAUGACGGUACCCGAAGAAGAAGCCUCGGCUAACUCCGUGCCAGCCGCCGCGGUAA